rnacentral:rRNA from 1 species
UACGUAGGGUGCAAGCGUUGUCCGGAAUUAUUGGGCGUAAAGAGCUCGUAGGCGGUCUGUCGCGUCGGCUGUGAAAACCCGGAGCUCAACUCCGGGCCUGCAGUCGAUACGGGCAAACUGGAGUGUUGCAGGGGAGACUGGAAUUCCUGGUGUAGCGGUGAAAUGCGCAGAUAUCAGGAGGAACACCGGUGGCGAAGGCGGGUCUCUGGACAACAACUGACGCUGAGGAGCGAAAGCGUGGGGAGCGAACAGG